UACGGGGGGGGCAAGCGUUGUUCGGAAUUACUGGGCGUAAAGGGCUCGUAGGUGGCCAACUAAGUCACACGUGAAAUCCCCAGGCUUAACCUGGGAACUGCGUGUGAUACUGGAUGGCUUGAAUCCGGGAGAGGGAUGCGGAAUUCCAGGUGUAGCGGUGAAAUGCGUAGAUAUCUGGAGGAACACCGGUGGCGAAGGCGGCAUCCUGGACCGGUAUUGACGCUGAUGAGCGAAAGCGAGGGGAGCAAACGGG
rnacentral:rRNA from 1 species